GUAAUUCUUAGAAGCAGCCAUCUCAUCAUGGAGCCAUCCUGCUGCUGCAGCCCAUGCAUCAGAGUGACCGUGGAUCCAGGGAAUUACUGGAAUGGCUGAACAACACCCAGGGAGGGUCCUGUGCCGAGGGCAAGCUCCAAGACCUGGGGUGUGCCGCAGCAGUGCAGCCAUUGCCCGGGCACAGAGGCUCCCUUCCUCCCUCCCCUCGGCCUCCUCCCUGCCCCCGGCCGGCCCGGCCCGGCCCAGCCCAGCCCAUCUGCCCCGUGCUGGGCCUUCAAACGCGUCAAUUGCCGCCCUGCCGCCGCAUCCUGCUCGCUCCGUGCCUCUCCUGUGCUGGUGCCUUGCACUUGGUCUGUGCAUUCCCCUGCUUGUUCUGUGCAGCCCAAGAGUCUCAUCCUGGAAGUCUUGGGGGGUGAAGUUAGGGCUUGGACCCCGAGCAGCUGUGUGCUCCUGGGAGGUCAGCAAGACUGAGGGUGCCACUCAUGGCAGAGGAGUACAGUACACCUUGCAGGUAGAGGAGAAUCCAUAACAAGAUAAAGCAAAAAAGAGGAGACAAGUUUUCUUUCCCAGUCUAGGAAAAAUAACCUGUUGGAUUAUAAUCUGCAAACAGUGGAGAGUGCCAGCAUGAGCAACGAAGGGCCUGAGAAUCCCAUCUCAUCCACACUGACCCAGGGCCUGAAGAGAAAGAGGGGGAGACCAAAGAAGCAGCCACAGGAGAAUGGUGGAAACACAGCUGAUAUCCCACAGGAUGCUGUGGGACCACAGCCAGUGAAGAAACCACGAGGAAGGCCAAAAGGAAGCAAGAAAAUGACUGUUCUAACUGGGGGAACGGCAGAACCUUCUGCUGGGAAAAGGCGAAGAGGGAGGCCCCGCAAGUGGCCUCAAGCAGUGGUCCAAGAAGGAGAUUCUCAGGGAGAAAAUCCUCUGGAAAGCAGUGAUUUGAAUUUGAACUCAGCACCAGCCACACAAGACAUCACUGGAAAAGACGGCUCCAGGUCUGGCAAAACCACUGGUCUUAGGAGAUGUCUGAGUAACAUCCCUGCUGCAGCUCAGUAGUGUCCCACCUGUUCGUGCCUUGCUGAAGCCAGAGGAGUGGAAAGCAAACAGGACUUUUAAUGUUGUAUUUUAGAUUUUUCAUUUGUAAUAAUUUUAGCCAAGCUCUCUCCUGUUGCCUGUGGACUUGCUUACCCCAAACAUCCAAACAAGGAUUUAGGGGAAGAAAUGGCAGAUUGCCUCGUUGGAGAGAUGCCUUUUACAGUUUGUAGUAUAUCUUCUGUGAGUAUAAUAAUUUCUCUUUAAAAUACUUGGAUAACCUGGUGCCUUACCCUGCCACGGAGAGCAGUAUUUCAACAGAAGUUGACUCAGCAAUACAGCUACAGGAAAGGGAAUCUAUUUACACAGCAAAUGGCUAGCUUGUCUGCCAUAUCACCUCUGGCAGACUGAUGAAACAGUGCCAGGAGUGAAGUUUUGCUGUGUUGCCCAUAAGGACUGUAUCUGAAAGACAGCCUUUGAGUCCUUGCUUGACUAUUUCAGGAAGAAAAACCUUCAUGGCAUUUCCAGCUUGCCCUGUACUGCUGUUCCAGUGGCCAGUAACUUGUAUGCUUUAGGGGAAGGUUUGCACCCUGAUGUCUUAGGGAUUGAUUCUGAAAUUUUUAGCUUAAUGUGAUCAGCUCAGGGCCUUCUCCCAUAACUUCUGGCCUGGUGGCUCUCCCCCUGAGUUUGAUAGCAGCUCCAAGUGCACAGUGUUUACGAGCUUAGUCACAGCCACUGGAUUUCAUCUCUUCAAAGGAGUGUCUGUAAAGAACCAGUUAUACAAAAGUUGCUUCCUUGCAGAACCUCGGGAUUCAAUUUAAAUUAGUUUAAAUUCAGUCCCUAACAUGCGUGUGUGGGGUCCUCUAGUGUCACAACUAUGCAAAUAAAAGCUGCUGAUAGUUCAGUUUUGGGAGACAGCAGUAGCCAGUUGGUUUGAGAUUGUUGCUGGCUGCUCUCAGUUUUACACUGUUUGCAGAUUUGUGCUUUUGGUGUCAGAGCUGUUAAAUUCUGAGGAAUUGAGGGUAUUUCCAAUAUCCAGUUGCAAAUAGUGAAAUCCCAGUGGUAUUUUCCAUCUCCUGGAUGUUCUGCGUGCUUAUUAAAGGGACAAAGUGGGUAUUUCAAUUAUCUCUGACAGGAUGCAAAAUUGGCUAGCUUUACAGUGUUAAAUAUUUAAACAGAACAUAAUUGGCUUUAAAUUUAUGGUGGUGCAUAGCAGAAACCCAUGAAAUGGCUGUAUAUAUCGGACUCAUUUAUUAUCUUCUCAUCAGAGAUCUGUUCCCUUGGCAAGUAUUUAUUUAACACAAGAAAAUGUAUGCAGAAUUAAGAAGGGUUGAUCGGAGAGAUUAUGGCGGGGGGGGGGAAGUGUUUUUUUUUCCCGUUUGGGUCAUUUUGUCCAGUCCACCUAGUUUAGUACUGAUGAGUCUGAUCCCAUUAAUUCUACUUAGUAGUGAUGAGAGUCCCAGCCCUCAUACCUCCCCAAUUCUGUGUGGUAUCUGGUUUGCCCUAAGGCAGACCUGUCUUGUGUAUGGAGCUUGGUGGUCACAGCAGAAGACUGCAUCACAGAUAAUCUUUGUGCCUCCACUACCAAAUAGCAGAGAAAUCAAGGACUAAGUGGAUUAGAUCACAGGGACUGACCUAAAUCCUGUGCUAUAGGAUGAGCUGUGCUGCCAGACACAAGGAGUUUGACCCCCCAGCUCGUGUUGUGGGGAUAACUCUGGGUGGGACAUGACACAAGUGAAUCUGUACUGUUGAUGGUUACAUGAGAAGGUGCAGCUGGUGCUCCCCUGAAUUCUGCUGCUCUUCAGUGCACUCACAAGUUCAGCUGCAGUUCAUAUCUGCAUUCAAAGGCUAUUUAAGUAGCAGACCAAAAUAUUUUACCAACUUCUGUGCCUGAUUUUCAGUUGAUUUGGCAGGUUCAGUACUCUGUUUGCAAGGCUAUAUCGCCUGUUUAAUUAACCCCUGCUACCUGAGAGCAGUAGCUGUUGCAGUGUGAGACUGUAACUUCAGCUUCUAAAUGGAUUAGGGAUUACAUCUGUAAGAGACUCAAGCUUUUCCUGUGACAUCAGUCAGUCCUUUCUCAGCUGGUGGCACAGAAUAGGGGUGCACACUGCCUUGGCUAGAUAGUAAAUCCAUCUGCUUUAGGUCAGCAGUAUUCCUCUGGGAAGUGCAUGCAAAGUACUUCUCUUAAAAUUAAAAAAAAAAAAAACAAACAAACAGAUCUAGUCUUUGCUACCUCUUACCGCUCUGCUGAAAAACCACAGUACAGAACUUGUUUCCAUAAAAAUGCAAGUGCUGGAGGAGAAGAGUUACGCUCUUUUAGGAGCUCUUCUGUGUAUAGAUGAAACCCCAGUCCCCAAAUGCAGCUUCCAUGUUUAUGCAGAGAAUUAGAAUGGAAGUCAAUGCCUAUGAAAGGUGGGCAGAAUUCCAGACAUCUUCAGGGAGCUGGGAUUUCACACUGGAUCACUUGGAUUGUCUUUUUUGAAAUUAUAAGUGGUUCAUUACCUUUUCUGUGUAGCCAAACCUACCUCUAAGCAAAUGCAUGUUAAGUGUUUUUAAGCUCAGGCAGUUUUGGUCUGACUUGGCCAAAAAUAAGAGGUCAUAACAGUUGGUUAAACCACAGGAGGUGAAUGAGGUUUGUUGUCUAGCAAAGUUUGGAAGUUUCCCAUAAAUGGUUUUGGUGAAGGCAUAGAGGGUGUUGGCAACUUGCAAAUUAGCCUUGAAGUUUGUUAAAUAAAGGUCUUAAACAAAUGCC